rnacentral:rRNA from 1 species
UACGAAGGGGGCUAGCGUUGUUCGGAAUCACUGGGCGUAAAGCGCACGUAGGCGGAUCUUUAAGUCAGGGGUGAAAUCCCGAGGCUCAACCUCGGAACUGCCUUUGAUACUGGGGAUCUCGAGUCCGGAGAGGUAGGAGUAGGUGAACUGCGAGUGUAGAGGUGAAAUUCGUAGAUAUUCGCAAGAACACCAGUGGCGAAGGCGGCUCACUGGCCCGGAACUGACGCUGAGGUGCGAAAGCGUGGGGAGCAAACAGG